rnacentral:lncRNA from 1 species
AAAACUAUUAAAAAAUUAUAGUUGGUCUAAUUAAUUAGGAUUUAGAGAAAUUGUAUCCUAUACAUACAACUUUUUUCUUAAUUAGGUAAAUACCCAAAAUCCCACAUAAUGGUGCUUUGAUUGCUAGACACUAAAAUUUAAUGUUAUAGGUAGAUUGCUAAUAUUCAUAUUUUUUUUGUAUAAUGAGCCAAUUGACUCUUAAUUAUAUCACUGAUUAGAGCCCUAUUAUACCCUGAAGAUACUACUAAAAUCUCAAGCUCAAACACUUAAAAGCUUAGAGCAUCACAGUUCUCUUAUUUCCCAAC